rnacentral:rRNA from 1 species
CCGUGGAGUGAUUUGUCUGGUUUAUUCCGUUAACGGGCGAGACCGCAGCCUGCUAAAUAGUUUUGCUCACCUUUUGGUGGGUUGAGACUUCUUAGAGGGACAACUCUGGCUAUAACCAGGGAGGAAGUUUGCGGCAAUAACA